UUCGGGGACCUAGUGACAGUGCUGCAUGGCUGUCGUCAGCUCGUGUCGUGAGAUGUUGGGUUAAGUCCCGCAACGAGCGCAACCCUCGUCCUUAGUUGCCAUCAUUAAGUUGGGCACUUUAAGGAAACUGCCGGUGAUAAGCCGGAGGAAGUGGGGAUGACGUCAAGUCCUCAUGGCCCUUAUAGGUGGGGCUACACACGUCAUACAAUGGCUGGUACAAAGGGUUGCCAACCCGCGAGGGGGGAGCCAAUCCCAUAAAGCCAGUCGUAGUCCGGAUCGCAGUCUGCAACUCGACUGCGUGAAGUCGGAAUCGCUAGUAAUCGUGGAUCAGCACGCCGCGGUGAAUACGUUCCCGGGCCUU
rnacentral:rRNA from 1 species